GAAUAACACAACAAUCUGCACUGCCUGAACCACGGAACUCAGCAGCACCAAGGCCUUUGAGGCUGCUGUGAAGCACCCUUUCUGCGAAAGCCAAGCUUCCUUAAAAUGUCAUCAUUCCUCACAAUAACCUUCAAGGCUUACCUGCAGCCUAGCUUUUUCCAUUCCAGGUGAUCCUGAGUUCAACAUGGUAGCUCCAAUUCUGGCUUUUUCUUAAAUCCCACUUCAAGUCUAGCAGACACUGACUGGAGUCACUUUUUCAAAUAUGAUCUUCAAGCUGAGAAAAAUAGAGAAGAGAGCUGGAGAAUAAGAUGAAAACAGGUCCACUGCCAUGCUUCAGAGACAGCAAAGUACCCCCUGGAAAGAUCCAUGUGGAGAAGAACUGAGGUCUUCUGUCAACAACCGGUACCAACUUUCUACUCAUGUGGGUUGCCAUCACCUUGUGAAGAAACUAGCCUCCUGAGGACUAGAGAGAACAUAAAGAGAGAGAGUUGCAGCCAUCCCAGCAUUCUGAGAUGAGAUCCCCCAAUACAUGAAUGAGGCCAUUCUGUACUAGCCAAUCCCCAGCCAACCCAUUUGAUUACUGCAGCCACCUAAGUGACCUCAGGUCAGACCAGCAGAAGAACCACCCGUCUGAGCUCCAAAUUACAGAAUCAUAAGCAAAUAAAUUGUUGUUUUUUAAAGAUA